rnacentral:rRNA from 1 species
UAUUGGGACAAUGGGCGAAAGCCUGAUCCAGCAAUGCCGCGUGAGUGAUGAAGGCCCUAGGGUUGUAAGGCUUUUUUACCCGGGAAGAUAAUGACUGUACCGGGAGAAUAAGCCCCGGCUAACUCCGUGCCAGCAGCCGCGGUAAUACGGAGGGGGCUAGCGUUGUUCGGAAUUACUGGGCGUAAAGCGCACGUAGGCGGCUUUGUAAGUCAGAGGUGAAAGCCUGGAGCUCAACUCCAGAACUGCCUUUGAGACUGCAUCGCUUGAAUCCAGGAGAGGUCAAUGGAAUUCCGAGUGUAGAGGUAAAUUGGUAGAUAUUGGGAAGAACACCAGUGGCGAAGGGGGCUGACGGACUGGUAUACGCUGAGUCAGACC